rnacentral:rRNA from 1 species
UACAGAGGGGGCAAGCGUUGUUCGGAAUUACUGGGCGUAAAGGGCGCGUAGGCGGCCUUCUAAGUCGAACGUGAAAUCCCUGGGCUCAACCCAGGAACUGCGUCCGAUACUGGCAGGCUUGAAUCCGGGAGAGGGAUGCGGAAUUCCAGGUGUAGCGGUGAAAUGCGUAGAUAUCUGGAGGAACACCGGUGGCGAAGGCGGCAUCCUGGACCGGCAUUGACGCUGAGGCGCGAAAGCCAGGGGAGCAAACGGG